GGACGGUUGCCCGAGUUGGUAAGGGAACGCUCUGCUAAGGCGUCGAAGGCCGAAAGGCCCGCGUGGGUUCGAUCCCCACACUGUCCG
rnacentral:tRNA from 1 species